rnacentral:rRNA from 1 species
CGUGGGUAACCUGCCCUUUAAACUGGGAUAACUUCGCGAAAGCGAUGCUAAUACCGGAUAUUGUCUCUGAGGCUGUGGUUUUGGAGAUGAAAGGUGACCUCUUCAUGAAAGUUGCCGUUCAAGGAUGGGCUCGCGUACCAUUAGCUAGUUGGUGGGGUAAUGGCCCACCAAGGCGACGAUGGUUAGCUGGUCUGAGAGGAUGAUCAGCCACACUGGAACUGGAACACGGUCCAG